UACGUAGGGUGCGAGCGUUAAUCGGAAUUACUGGGCGUAAAGCGUGCGCAGGCGGUUCGCCAAGUCAGGUGUGAAAUCCCCGGGCUUAACCUGGGAAUGGCAUUUGGGACUGCAAGGCUCGAGUGCGGCAGAGGAGACUGGAAUUCCUGGUGUAGCAGUGAAAUGCGUAGAUAUCAGGAGGAACACCGAUGGCGAAGGCAGGUCUCUGGGCUGACACUGACGCUCAUGCACGAAAGCGUGGGGAGCAAACAGG
rnacentral:rRNA from 1 species